rnacentral:rRNA from 1 species
GACGAACGCUGGCGGCGUGCUUAACACAUGCAAGUCGAGCGGAGCGGCGAACGGGUGGGUAACGCGGGAGUAACUGCCCCCCUCCCUGGGAUAACAGUUGGAAACGGGUGCUAAUACCGGAUAGUGGGGGAUGACUCGCGUCCUAUCAGCUUGUUGGUGGGGUAGUGGCCUACCAAGGAGACGACGGGUAGCCGGCCUGGGAGGGGGACCGGCCACAUUGGGCUGAGGUACGGCCCAAACGCGUAUGGGGGGCAGCAGUGGGAAAUAUUGCACAAUGGGGGAAACCCUAAUGCAGCAGCGCCGCGUGCGGGAUGACGGCCUUCGGGUUGUAAACCGCUUUCAGCCAUGACGCGGUAGUGGCAGAAGAAGCACCGGCUAACUACGUGCCAGCAGCCGCGGUAAUUC